ACAUAAGCAAAAAGCAAAAAGCUUCUUCCCACCGUGGCUGGGAAGCAGCAAAUCCAGCUCUGGGUGAGCAGAGAGCUGCAAGCACAACCAUCAGCGAGCCUUUGUGUUUAGCAGUCCAGGAUGGAUUUUGGGCGCGUGGGAGUCGCUGAUAGCGGCCCGAAGAUCUGGACAAUAACGCCUCCUGACAGCUCCCGCGUCCCUCCCAGGCCUGGGGAAGGGUCCUGCUCCACUGAACACUGCGGGUUGGAGGAGCGAUGUUUGGUGGAGCUGACGGCCCAUUUCCACGGGGAAAUGAGGAUGGAGAGGAGAACAGGCUCACCCAGCACCCCUCCUCAGGGGGCUUUCCCCAAA